UACGUAGGGUGCGAGCGUUGUCCGGAAUUAUUGGGCGUAAAGGGCUCGUAGGCGGUCUGUUGCGUCGGGAGUGAAAACUCAGGGCUUAACCCUGAGCCUGCUUCCGAUACGGGCAGACUAGAGGUAUGCAGGGGAGAACGGAAUUCCUGGUGUAGCGGUGGAAUGCGUAGAGAUCCGGAGGAACACCAGCGGCGAAGGCGGCGUCCUGGACUGGUACUGACGCUCAGGAGCGAAAGCGUGGGGAGCGAUCCGG
rnacentral:rRNA from 1 species